rnacentral:rRNA from 1 species
GAUGAACGCUGGCGGCGUGCCUAAUACAUGCAAGUCGAGCGAAUGGAUUAAGAGCUUGCUCUUAUGAAGUUAGCGGCGGACGGGUGAGUAACACGUGGGUAACCUGCCCAUGAGACUGGGAUAACUCCGGGAAACCGGGGCUAAUACCGGAUAACAUUUUGAACCGCAUGGUUCGAAAUUGAAAGGCGGCUUCGGCUGUCACUUAUGGAUGGACCCGCGUCGCAUUAGCUAGUUGGUGAGGUAACGGCUCACCAGGGCAACGAUGCGUAGCCGACCUGAGAGGGUGAUCGGCCGCACUGGGACUGAGCCACGGCCCAGACUCCUACGGGAGGCAGCAGUAGGGAAUCUUCCGCAAUGGACGAAAGUCUGACGGAGCAACGCCGCGUGAGUGAUGAAGGCUUUCGGGUCGUAAAACUCUGUUGUUAGGGAAAAACAAGUGCUAGUUGAAUAAGCUGACACCUUGACGGUACCUAACCAGAAAGCCACGGCUAACUACGUGCCAGCAGCCGCUGUAA